rnacentral:rRNA from 1 species
GCAUAACGCGAAGAACCUUACCCACCUUUGACAUGUACGGAAUCCUUUAGAGAUAGAGGAGUGCUCGAAAGAGAGCCGUAACACAGGUGCUGCAUGGCUGUCGUCAGCUCGUGUCGUGAGAUGUUGGGUUAAGUCCCGCAACGAGCGCAACCCUUGCCAUUAGUUGCUACGAAAGGGCACUCUAAUGGGACUGCCGGUGACAAACCGGAGGAAGGUGGGGAUGACGUCAAGUCCUCAUGGCCCUUAUAGGUGGGGCUACACACGUCAUACAAUGGCUGGUACAGAGGGUUGCCAACCCGCGAGGGGGAGCUAAUCCCAUAAAGCCAGUCGUAGUCCGGAUCGCAGUCUGCAACUCGACUGCGUGAAGUCGGAAUCGCUAGCAAUCGCGGAUCAGAAUGUCGCGGUGAAUACGUUCCCGGGUCUUGUACACACCG